CCUACGGGAGGCAGCAGUAGGGAAUAUUGCUCAAUGGGGGAAACCCUGAAGCAGCAACGCCGCGUGGAGGAUGAAGGUUUUCGGAUUGUAAACUCCUUUUGUUAGAGAAGAUAAUGACGGUAUCUAACGAAUAAGCACCGGCUAAAUCCGUGCCAGCAGCCGCGGUAAUACGGAGGGUGCAAGCGUUACUCGGAAGGACUGGGCGUAAAGAGCGCGUAGGGGGGAUAGCAAGUCAGAUGUGAAAUCCUAUGGCUUAACCAUAGAACUGCAUUUGAAACUGUUAUUCUAGAGUAUGGGAGAGGUAGGUGGAAUUCUUGGUGUAGGGGUAAAAUGCGUAGAUAUCAAGAGGAAUACUCAUUGCGAAGGCGACCUGCUAGAACAUAACUGACGCUGAUGCGCGAAAGCGUGGGGAGCAAACAGGAUGAGAUACCCGAGUAGUC
rnacentral:rRNA from 1 species